GGCCCAUCUAGUCCAGCAUCCUGUUUCACACAGUAGCCCACCUGAUGCCUCUGAGGAGCCCACACGCAAGAGGAAAACUAGAACAUGUCAUGCCAGCAGAACAAAUGACUGCAGCAUUUUUUUAAAAAGGAACACCUGGAUCAGGACAUGUGUCAGAUGCAACUGCAUCCCCACCUUGACUCACUGCAGGAGAAAGAAACAGAAUGAACAGAAAGUGUAUCAUCGAUAAACUUAAAAGACCUUUUCUGGGGCAGGGGAUAAACAGUGAAAACGCAUUGCUGGUUAAUCAUGAAUUACAGUUUUUGUUCACAUUGGAGAAAUAUCUCAAUUUCUCAACCACUCUCAAUUUCACAACCACUCCUACAUGCAGUUAUAUGUAGGCUUGAUGCUUCCACUAAAAAUGUAUCCUCCUGCACAUAAUGUAUUAUUUUGAAAGUUCCAUUAAUUCUAGUGUGGUUAAUACAAUCUUUCUUGGUAGA